GCUACGGGGGGCAGCAGUGGGGAAUAUUGCACAAUGGGCGAAAGCCUGAUGCAGCAACGCCGCGUGAAGGAAGAAGGGUUUCGGGUCGUAAACUUCUAUCAACAGGGACGAAAGAAAUGACGGUACCGGAAUAAGAAGCCACGGCUAACUACGUGCCAGCAGCCGCGGUAAUACGUAGGGGGCAAGCGUUAUCCGGAAUUACUGGGUGUAAAGGGGGAGUAGGCGGGAGUGUAAGACAGAUGUGAAAGCCUUGGGCUUCACCCGAGGAGUGCGUUUGAAACUGUCAAGCUAGAGUACAGGGGAGGCAGGCGGAAUUCCUCGUGUAGCGGUGAAAUGCGUAGAUAUUAG
rnacentral:rRNA from 1 species